rfam:Pongo abelii chromosome 22, whole genome shotgun sequence.
GGAAAUAUGUCUGAUAAGAGAGUUACUUUGAUAGAGUAAAUUAUAGAGGUUUAAAUCUUCCUGUUUCUA